rnacentral:rRNA from 1 species
UGCGUAGGGUGCAAGCGUUAAUCGGAAUUACUGGGCGGAAAGCGUGCGCAGGCGGUUCGGAAAGAAAGAUGUGAAAUCCCAGAGCUUAACUUUGGAACUGCAUUUUUAACUACCGAGCUAGAGUGUGUCAGAGGGAGGUUGAAUUCCGCGUGUAGCAGUGAAAUGCGUAUAUAUGUGGAGGAAUACCGAUGGCGAAGGCAGCCCCCUGGGUCGAUACUGACGCUCAUGCACGAAAGCGUGGGGAGCAAACAGG